UUAAAGUUUGAAUAUUAUUAUUUUUCCUUUAGUUUUCACUUGCUGAUAAUUUUUAAAAAUAGACAAUCUCUAAAUAUAAAUGACCAGGAGAUCGACUGUUUUAUUCUAAAUUGUGUUUUAUUCUAAAAGUUAUUCUAACUAUCUAUUCCUAGUAAUUGUAUUUCUUCAUGGUUUACAAGGAACAGUCAAAUUCUACAGAUUUGACUCUUUGUAUAAAUGAGAGGAUAUACUGCCCCCUAGUGUUCACAAACAUCAGUACAGUUUGUACAUUAGGGAUGCACCGAAAUGAAAAUUCUGGGCUAAAACCAAACUGAAAAUUCAGGAUGCCCUUGGCUAAAAAACGAAAAUUACCCCCCGCCCCCAAAUGAUUUGUGUAGGUUAUGUAGUGUGUGUAUGGAAUAUAGUGAGGUAUGAGAAAGGAAUGUAGUGUCUGUGUGUGUAGGUUAUGUAGUUUGUGUAGGGAACACUGUGUGGUGUGGGAUAGGGGUGCAGUGUGUAGGUUAUGUAGUGUGUGUAUGGAAUAUAGUGAGGUAUGGGAAAGGAAUGUAGUGUGUGUGUGUGUAGGUUAUGUAGUGUGUGUAGGGAACACUGUGUGGUGUGGGAUAGGGAUGUACUGUGUAGGUUAUGUAGUGUGUGUAGGGAACACGGUGUGGUGUGGGAUAGGGAUGUAGUUUGUAUGUUUGUAGGUUAUGUAGAGUGUGUAAGGCACAUAGUGUAGGGUGGGCUAGGGAUGUAGUGUGUGUAGGGCACACGGUGUGAUAGGGGUGUAGGGCGCAUAGUGUGGGGUGAUAGGGAUGUAGUAUGGGUAGGACACAUAGUGUGGGGUGGGAUAGGAAGGACAGAGUGAGGGAAUGGCAGAGCGUGGGAGGGAGUGACAGGUGACAGAGUAUAGGAAAGAGAGGGAGUGACAGGUGGCAGAGUAAGGGAAGCAGGGGGUGACAGUUGGCAGAGUGAGGGAGUGACAGAGUGAGGAGGUGGCAAAGUGAGGGGGUGGCAGUGAGGGAAGGGGUGACUGGUGGCAGAGUGAGGGGGUGACAUGGUAAGGGAGGAGGUGCCUAGUGGCAGAGUGUGGGAGGGAGGUGACGACUGGUGACAGAGUGAGGGAGUGGGUAACUGGUGACAGAAUGAGGGGUGACUGAGGGAGGAGGUGACAGGUGACAGAGUGACUGGGUGACUGGUGGCAGAAUGAGGGAGGGGUGACUGGUAGUAGAGUGAGGGAGGGAGAGGGUGACUGGUGACAGAGUGAGGGAGGGGGUGACAGAGUGACUGGUGACAAUGACUGAGGCAGAGGGUGACUGGGGGAGGGGGUGACAGAGUGGAUGACUGAG